UGGUGGGUAGUUUGACUGGGGCGGUCUCCUCCUAAAGAGUAACGGAGGAGCACGAAGGUUGGCUAAUCCUGGUCGGACAUCAGGAGGUUAGUGCAAUGGCAUAAGCCAGCUUGACUGCGAGCGUGACGGCGCGAGCAGGUGCGAAAGCAGGUCAUAGUGAUCCGGUGGUUCUGAAUGGAAGGGCCAUCGCUCAACGGAUAAAAGGUACUCCGGGGAUAACAGGCUGAUACCGCCCAAGAGUUCAUAUCGACGGCGGUGUUUGGCACCUCGAUGUCGGCUCAUCACAUCCUGGGGCUGAAGUAGGUCCCAAGGGUAUGGCUGUUCGCCAUUUAAAGUGGUACGCGAGCUGGGUUUAGAACGUCGUGAGACAGUUCGGUCCCUAUCUGCCGUGGGCGCUGGAGAACUGAGGGGGGCUGCUCCUAGUACGAGAGGACCGGAGUGGACGCAUCACUGGUGUUCGGGUUGUCAUGCCAAUGGCACUGCCCGGUAGCUAAAUGCGGAAGAGAUAAGUGCUGAAAGCAUCUAAGCACGAAACUUGCCCCGAGAUGAGUUCUCCCUGACCCUUUAAGGGUCCUGAAGGAACGUUGAAGACGACGACGUUGAUAGGCCGGGUGUGUAAGCGCAGCGAUGCGUUGAGCUAACCGGUACUAAUGAACCGUGAGGCUUAACC
rnacentral:rRNA from 1 species